rnacentral:rRNA from 1 species
UACAGAGGUCCCGAGCGUUGUUCGGAUUCAUUGGGCGUAAAGGGUGCGUAGGCGGUCUUCUAAGUUUGAUGUGAAAUCCCGGGGCUCAACCCUGGAAUUGCAUUGAAUACUGGAGGACUUGAGUCCCGGAGAGGAAACUGGAAUUUACGGUGUAGCAGUGAAAUGCGUAGAGAUCGUAAGGAAGACCAGUGGCGAAGGCGAGUUUCUGGACGGGUACUGACGCUGAGGCACGAAGGCCAGGGGAGCAAACGGG